GCAUUGGUGGUUUAGCGGUAGAAUCCUCGCCUUUCACGUGAGAAGUCUGGGUUCGAUUCCCAGCCAAUGCA